AUUGAACGCUGGCGGCAGGCCUAACACAUGCAAGUCGAACGAGUGGCGGACGGGUGAGUAAUGUCUGGGAAACUGCCUGAUGGAGGGGGAUAACUACUGGAAAAGGUAGCUAAUACCGCAUACCAUCGGAUGUGCCCAGAUGGGAUUAGCUAGUCGGUGGGGUAACGGCGCAACUAGGCGACGAUCCCUAGCUGGUCUGAGAGGAUGAACUGCCACACUGGAACUGAGACACGGACCAUACUCCUACGGGAGGCAGCAGUGGGGAAUAUUGCACAAUGGGCGCAAGCCUGAUGCAGCCAUGCCGCUUGUAUGAAGAAGGCCUUCGGGUUGUAAAGUACUUUCAGCUGGGAGGCGUUACCCGCAGAAGAAGCACCGGCUAACUCCGUGCCAACAGCCGCGGUAAUUC
rnacentral:rRNA from 1 species